AUUGACCGCUGGCGGCAGGCCUAACACAUGCAAGUCGAACGAGUGGCGGACGGGUGAGUAAUGUCUGGGAAACUGCCUGCUGGAGGGGGAUAACUACUGGAAACGGUCGCUAAUACCGCAUACCAUCGGAUGUGCCCAGAUGGGAUUAGCUAGUAGGUGGGGUAAAGGCUCACCUAGGCGACGAUCCCUAGCUGGUCUGAGAGGAUGACCAGCCAAACGGGAACUGAGACACGGUCCAGACUCCUACGGGAGGCAGCAGUGGGGAAUAGUGCACAAUGGGCGCAAGCCGGAUGCAGCCAUGCCGCGUGUAUGAAGAAGGCCUUCGGGUGGUAAAGGACUGUCAGCGGGGAUGCGUUACCCGCAGAAGAAGCACCGGCUAACUCCGUGCCAGCCGCCGCGGUAAUUC
rnacentral:rRNA from 1 species